UUUUUUAAGGGGGGGGUACAAGUUAUAAUCAUGAUUUCUAUGUUUGCCACAAGAGGAGUCAGUGGAACAUCUAUGUGUUUGUCAAAAGUAUUUUAAUGAAAAACAAACAAUGAAGAAGGAACUUAGAAAGGUGGGAGUGGAAGGAAUAAAGCUUAAAAAAAGUAUAAUCACUUAUGGAUUAGAGAGCUUAUUUCUUUAUCUCAAAAGUACAGAACUGAUAAAGAGAAUGAAGGGUUUCUUUUAUGAAAUGAGUAAACUUUGGUCCACACUCCAACACUGAAGGUGGCGAUAAUGCACCUUAACGCUGGUGCUACCCACCAUAAAACAGAAGAAGAAGAAUCAAACAUCACUAUUCAAGAAUUAGCUACGGGAAAUAGGAGGACUGGACUGGAAGGACGAAUUUAAUUAAGAUAUAGUAAGUUAAAGUGAGACAGCAGAUGGCAGUAAUGCAACACUAUGGAUGCCAACUGCCGUAAAACUCCAA